AUACCGUGGUAAUUCUACAGCUAAUACAUGAGCAAAAUCUCAACUUUAUUAGAAGAGAAGCAUUUAUUAGAUAAAAAGCCAAUGCAUGCUUUUACAGUAUGAAAAUUGGUGAUUUAUAAUAACUUAGCAAAUCGUAAAGUGAAAACAGACGAUAAAUCAUUCAAGUUUCUGACCUAUCAGCUUUCGACGGUAUGGUAUUGGCUUACCGUGGCAGUGACGGUUAACGGGGGAUUAGGGUUCGAUUCCGGAGAGGGAGCCUGAGAAACGGCUACCACAUCUAAGGAAGGCAGCAGGCGCGCAAAUUACCCAAUUCUAACAGUUUGAGAGAGGUAGUAACAAGAAAUAACAAUACAAGGCAGUUAAAAUGCUUUGUAAUUGGAAUGAUAGAAAUUUAAACCCUUUUUAAAGUAUCAAUUGGAGGGCAAGUCUGGUGCCAGCAGCCGCGGUAAUUCCAGCUCCAAUAGCGUAUAUUAAAAUUGUUGCAGUUAAAAAGCUCGUAGUUGAAGUUCUGCUAAAAGUAACCGGUCUGCUUUUAAUAAAAGUGGUAUCUUGGUAUGUAUUUAGCAAUGAUGUCCUUUGAAGUGUUUUUUACUUUAUUGUAAUAAAGCAUAUUCAGGACUUUUACUUUGAGAAAAUUAGAGUGUUUCUAGCAGGCCGACGCUUUGAAUACUGCAGCAUGGAAUAAUAAGAUAGGAUUUUAGUUCUACAUUGUUGGUUUUAAGAGCUAAAUUAAUGAUUGAUAGGGACAGUUGGGGGCAUUUGUAUUUAACUGUCAGAGGUGAAAUUCUUAGAUUUGUUAAAGACAAACUACUGCGAAAGCAUUUGCCAAAGAUGUUUUCAUUAAUCAAGAACGAAAGUUAGGGGAUCGAAGACGAUCAGAUACG
rnacentral:rRNA from 1 species